rnacentral:rRNA from 1 species
UACGGGGGGGGUAAGCGUUGUUCGGAAUUACUGGGCGUAAAGGGCUCGUAGGCGGCCAACUAAGUCAGACGUGAAAUCCCUCAGCUUAACUGGGGAACUGCGUCUGAUACUGGAUGGCUUGGAUCCGGGAGAGGGAUGCGGAAUUCCAGGUGUAGCGGUGAAAUGCGUAGAUAUCUGGAGGAACACCGGUGGCGAAGGCGGCAUCCUGGACCGGUAUUGACGCUGAGGAGCGAAAGCGUGGGGGGCGAACAGG